rnacentral:sRNA from 1 species
CUGAUAGCCCAGGAAACUGACACCUGUUUACAAAAAGGAAUACAGCAUAGGAAGCAGCAGUGCAAACCUCGUAACAUUGCUCCACUAAUGUGCCUCAAACAUAACACACAGGGACCAACUUUACAAGCGAGACGUUACAAUUAAGUCUCCAUGGCAGUUAACAUCCUUGCUUCU